GACGAACGCUGGCGGCGUGCUUAACACAUGCAAGUCGAACGGAAAGGCCCUGCUUUUGUGGGGUGCUCGAGUGGCGAACGGGUGAGUAACACGUGAGUAACCUGCCCUUGACUUUGGGAUAACUUCAGGAAACUGGGGCUAAUACCGGAUAGGAGCUCCUGCUGCAUGGUGGGGGUUGGAAAGUUUCGGCGGUUGGGGAUGGACUCGCGGCUUAUCAGCUUGUUGGUGGGGUAGUGGCUUACCAAGGCUUUGACGGGUAGCCGGCCUGAGAGGGUGACCGGCCAUAUUGGGACUGAGAUACGGCCCAGACUCCUGCGGGAGGCAGCAGUGGGGAAUAUUGCACAAUGGGCGGAAGCCUGAUGCAGCAACGCCGCGUGCGGGAUGACGGCCUUCGGGUUGUAAACCGCUUUCGCCUGUGACGAAGCGUGAGUGACGGUAAUGGGUAAAGAAGCACCGGCUAACUACGUG
rnacentral:rRNA from 1 species